UACGUAGGGUGCAAGCGUUUGUCCGGAAUUAUUGGGCGUAAAGAGCUCGUAGGCGGUUUGUCGCGUCGGCUGUGAAAGCCCGGAGCUCAACUCCGGGUCGUGCAGUCGAUACGGGCAGACUUGAGUGUUGCAGGGGAGACUAGAAUUCCUGGUGUAGCGGUGAAAUGCGCAGAUAUCAGGAGGAACACCGGUGGCGAAGGCGGGUCUCUGGGCAACAACUGACGCUGAGGAGCGAAAGCGUGGGGAGCGAACAGG
rnacentral:rRNA from 1 species